AGAGUUUGAUCAUGGCUCAGGACGAACGCUGGCGGUGUGCCUCACACAUGCAAGUCGAACGGGGUAGCAAUACCCAGUGGCGGACGGGUGAGUAACACGUGGGAAUCUGCCUUUAAGAGGGGGAUAGCAGACCGAAAGGUCUAUUAAUACCGCAUAAGCCGAAAGGUAAAAGGAGCAAUCCGCUUGAAGAUGAGCCCGCG
rnacentral:rRNA from 1 species